rnacentral:rRNA from 1 species
CCCGCAACGAGCGCAACCCUCGCCAUUAGUUGCCAUCAUUUAGUUGGGAACUCUAAUGGGACUGCCGGUGCUAAGCCGGAGGAAGGUGGGGAUGACGUCAAGUCCUCAUGGCCCUUACAGGGUGGGCUACACACGUGCUACAAUGGCGACUACAGAGGGUUAAUCCUUAAAAGUCGUCUCAGUUCGGAUUGUCCUCUGCAACUCGAGGGCAUGAAGUUGGAAUCGCUAGUAAUCGCGGAUCAGCAUGCCGCGGUGAAUACGUU